rnacentral:rRNA from 1 species
UACGUAGGGUGCGAGCGUUGUCCGGAAUUACUGGGCGUAAAGGGUGCGCAGGCGGUUAUAUAAGACAGAUGUGAAAUCCCCGGGCUCAACCUGGGAACUGCAUUGGUGACUGGCAGGCUUUGAGUGUGGCAGAGGGAGGUAGAAUUCCACGUGUAGCAGUGAAAUGCGUAGAGAUGUGGAGGAAUACCGAUGGCGAAGGCAGCCUCCUGGGCCAACACUGACGCUCAUGCACGAAAGCGUGGGGAGCAA